rfam:Symbiodinium microadriaticum strain CCMP2467 Smic.scaffold547, whole genome shotgun sequence.
GCUCGUGUGGCCUAAUGGAUAAGGCGCCUCCCUCCUAAGGAGGAGAUUGCGGGUUCGAGUCCCGCCUCGGAUC